GUAAGGAAUAUUGGACAAUGGACGCAAGUCUGAUCCAGCCAUGCCGCGUGAAGGAUUAAGGUCCUCUGGAUUGUAAACUUCUUUUAUACGGGACGAAAAAAGGCUUUUCUAAGUCGUCUGACGGUACCUUAUGAAUAAGCACCGGCUAACUCCGUGCCAGCAGCCGCGGUAAUACGGAGGGUGCAAGCGUUAUCCGGAUUCACUGGGUUUAAAGGGUGCGUAGGCGGGCAGGUAAGUCAGUGGUGAAAUCCUAGAGCUUAACUCUAGAACUGCCAUUGAUACUAUCUGUCUUGAAUAUUGUGGAGGUAAGCGGAAUAUGUCAUGUAGCGGUGAAAUGCUUAGAUAUGACAUAGAACACCUAUUGCGAAGGCAGCUUACUACGCAUAUAUUGACGCUGAGGCACGAAAGCGUGGGGAUCAAACAGGAUUAGAUACCCGGGUAGUCC
rnacentral:rRNA from 1 species